UACGUAGGGUGCGAGCGUUAUUCGGAAUUACUGGGCGUAAAGCGUGCGCAGGCGGCGCCGCAAGUCAGGCGUGAAAUCCCCGGGCUUAACUUGGGAAUGGCGCUUGAAACUACGGUGCUGGAGUGUGGCAGAGGGAGGUGGAAUUCCACGUGUAGCGGUGAAAUGCGUAGAGAUGUGGAGGAACACCGAUGGCGAAGGCAGCCUCCUGGGCCAACACUGACGCUCAUGCGCGAAAGCGUGGGGAGCAAACAGG
rnacentral:rRNA from 1 species